GAUCAUGGCUCAGGAUGAACGCUAGCUACAGGCUUAACACAUGCAAGUCGAGGGGAAACGACAUCGAAAGCUUGCUUUGAUGGGCGUCGACCGGCGCACGGGUGAGUAACGCGUAUCCAACCUGCCCAUCACUUGGGAAUAACCUUGCGAAAGUAAGACUAAUACCCAAUGAUAUCCCACGAAGGCAUCCGAAUGGGAUUAAAGAUUUAUCGGUGAUGGAUGGGGAUGCGUCUGAUUAGCUUGUUGGCGGGGUAACGGCCCACCAAGGCGACGAUCAGUAGGGGUUCUGAGAGGAAGGUCCCCCACAUUGGAACUGAGACACGGUCCAAACUCCUACGGGAGGCAGCAGUGAGGAAUAUUGGUCAAUGGGCGAGAGCCUGAACCAGCCAAGUAGCGUGCAGGACGACGGCCCUAUGGGUUGUAAACUGCUUUUAUAAGGGAAUAAAGUGAGUCUCGUGAGACUUUUUGCAUGUACCUUAUGAAUAAGGACCGGCUAAUUCCGUG
rnacentral:rRNA from 1 species